rnacentral:rRNA from 1 species
CAUCUCUUUAUGAUUAUGAUUUAAGGUUUGAUCUGCUCAAUGAUUAAAAAUUUAAAUGGCCGCAGUAUUAUGACUGUGCUAAGGUAGCAUAAUAAAUAGUUUUUUUAUUGAGAACUGGAAUGAAAGAUUUGACAAAAGAUUUACUGUCUCUUAUUAAUAUUUUGAAAUUUACUUUUUAGUUAAAAGGCUAAAAUUUUUUUUAAAGACGAGAAGACCCUAUAGAGUUUUAUUAAUUGAUUAAAUUAUUUUUUUUUAUUAUUUAAAUUUUAUUUGAUUGUUAAUUUAGUUGGGGUUGUUCUAAGAUUAAAAUAAUUCUUAUUUAUUAAUCAUUAAUUUGUGAUUAUGUUAUCUUUUAUUUAAAUAUAAAUUAAAUUACCUUAGGGAUAACAGCGUAAUUUUUUUUAAAAAUUAAAUUUAAAGGAAAGUUUGCGACCUCGAUGUUGGAUUAAAAUUUUUUAUUGGUUAAAAGCUUAUAAAAUAAGUCUGUUCGACUUUUGAAAUUUUACAUGAUCUGAGU